UCCUUCUCAACAGUCUGUUUUGCGGGA
rnacentral:piRNA from 1 species